CCUACGGGUGGCAGCAGUGGGGAAUAUUGCGCAAUGGGCGAAAGUCUGACGCAGCGACGCCGCGUGAGGGAUGAAGGUCUUCGGAUCGUAAACCUCUGUCAGCAGGGAAGAACGGUCACUGUGCUAAUCAGCAGUGAAUUGACGGUACCUGCAAAGGAAGCACCGGCUAACUCCGUGCCAGCAGCCGCGGUAAUACGGAGGGUGCGAGCGUUAAUCGGAAUUACUGGGCGUAAAGCGCUCGUAGGCGGUAUGUCAAGUCAAGGGUGAAAUCCCCGCGCUCAACGUGGGAACUGCCUUUGAAACUGGCAAACUGGAGUGUGUGAGAGGAUAGUGGAAUUCCAGGUGUAGGAGUGAAAUCCGUAGAUAUCACGCAGAACCCCGAUUGCGAAGGCAGCAUACCGGUGCACAACUGACGCUCAGGCACGAAAGCGUGGGUAUCGAACAGGAUUAGAUACCCGGGUAGUC
rnacentral:rRNA from 1 species